rnacentral:lncRNA from 1 species
CGAUGAACAAAUCCUCACUGCAGGGAAUAGUCACACCACCCAUUGGAUGGUCGAAGCCAAAUUCUUCCUCAGCUUGACUAAGCAAGUCUUGAAAUAAAGGUUCGCUCAAGAAUGAUAUGGGGAUCAUGAAUCUCUUUUUCUGCAUCUCCCCAACAUACACAGCAAAAUGGCCCUUGGGAAUAUCUCUGGUUGCGGAAGACUUCUUGAUCAUACGAAGAAUAGCCAUGAUGAUUUAGUUUUAGUAUAGAUAAGAAAGGUAAAAGAAAUACAAAGGAACUCAAAAGCAGAAAAAAGUUUUGAUGUUUGCUGAGAGCUGUUGUGGAAGAUACCACUUUGGAUGUUUAUAUAGGCAAUAUCGACUCAUUCUGAUGUAUUUUGAGUAGGAAUUUGUGGGCACCAGCAGAAGACAAUGUCACUGAAGUAUCACAUGCUCUUGCCUUCCAAGUAUUGAAAACUUUGUGGUAUUAGUUGAAGAACAAUAGGCCCUACAUUUUUUUGAAUCUUGGAAAGAAGCAUUAUUCAUUAUGGAAUUUUUGAGAAGUCAUAAAGUUCUUGAUUCUGGUGAAGAGCCAUUUGGAUUGGACAUCAGUUAAAGACGAUGAUAUAUCAGUAAUCACAUGGCCCUGCCUUCCAGCUAGUUGACAUGAGUAAUUGCUUUAGCUCAUCAGAUCAAGUUCAAUAGGUCCUGCAUAUAUUUUCCUAUAGGGAACCAAGGAUCUCUAAGAAUCAAAUCCAUAAAAAUUGCUGGUAGCCUAUGAUGCAAACUGUGUCCACUUAUAUACAAACUAUAAGAGAAGAGAAGUCAAAAAUAUGAAAGAUUUCACUGGUGGAGAGGUAUUUGUUGCACUGUUUAUUGACAAUAGCACAUGAAGCAUCACAUGGUGUUGUUGCCAACUCAUUGUCUAAUAUAUAUGAUCUUAGCAAAUUGCUCAUGAAUAUCAUCAGACCCCAGUGUUUUUCAUGACAAGAUAGAGAACAGACUAUCUUUAGAGAUCAAAUUGAUAAUUUACUGCAAUAGUUGACAACUUGUGGGAUCAACAUUCCGGAUGAGAAUAACCCAUGGUAUUUCAAUAGUUUUUGACAAGUGUUUUCAAAUAGUAGAUAACAGAAAUGUUUAUUGACUAUCAAUAUGUCUAUGUUUUGCAUAUCCAUCAAAUUAUGAGUCAGUCAGAACCUUACUGUUGCCAGAAAUUUGAAUCCAUAUUCAAGAAAAGUAUAGAUAUUAUAUCUUAUUAAGAGUUGAUGAAUUUACAUCCAUUUUCUAUCUCAUUCAGUUAACUCAGUAAUUUCACAUUACUGCAGAAUAUCAGAUCUAGUACAUAUUGAGUUAUUUGUACAUUGUACGACGGAUGCUGCCAAGUGCAUCUAAUUUAUUUGGAACCCCAAAGUGUAAUUAUUACCAAUAGAAUGAAUUGUGCCACUAAAGAAUGAAUUGAGAAAACCAUGAGAGUUGAGCAAAAAAUUUCUAUUGCAAUGAAUUGAUUACAUCAAUGUAUGGAAGUAAAAUGUUUCAUUACUUCAAUUACUUUUGAAGUAGAAAAAUGUGUCCUUAGUCUACCUAGUGUUUCUUAUAACUCUCAACUGUACACAGUGGAGUUCCUGGCUUACUACAACUAUACAAAAUUGAGUUAACAAAAAAAUAGGGACUGGUUUCCUUCUCACAUUCUCAAUCGAGAUGUGACAUCGAUGAACAAAUCCUCACUGCAGGGAAUAGUCACACCACCCAUUGGAUGGUCGAAGCCAAAUUCUUCCUCAGCUUGACUAAGCAAGUCUUGAAAUAAAGGUUCGCUCAAGAAUGAUAUGGGGAUCACAAAUCUCUUUUUCUGCAUCUCCCCAACAUACACAGCAAAAUGGCCCUUGGGAAUAUCUCUGGUUGCGGAAGGCUUCUUGAUCAUACGAAGAAUAGCCAUGAUGAUUUAGUUUUAGUAUAGAUAAGAAAGGUAAAAGAAUUACAAGGAACUCAAAAGCAGAGAAAGUUUUGAUGUUUGCUGAGAGCUGUGGUAGUAGAUAUCUCUUUGGAUAUGUUUAUAUAGACAAUGGAAACUCAUACCGAUGUGGUGUUGAAUAAGAAAUUGUGGGCACCAGCAGAAGACAAUGUCACUGAAGUAUCACAUGCUCUUGCCUUCCAAGUAUUGAAAACUUUGUGGUAUUAGUUAAAGAACAAUAGGCCCUACCUUAUUUUGAAACUUCGAUAGAAGCAUAAUUCAUUAUAGAAUUUUUGAGAAGCUAUGACCUGGAACAUGGACCACUAACAUGAAAAACAUAACCACAUUGGGAAACAUAAAAUUUCAUUAAUUAAUAUCCCAAAACAACAAGUAACAUGAGAGAGGUCAAACUCUUCCCAUCUUUGGACUUGAAAGGCUUUAGUUAUCAAGGAUUACAGGCCCUACCUUUUCUUUGAACUUAAAGAGCAAAGUAUCCCUCACAACCAAAUAGCUAAACAAGUAUUGUCUAGGUACACAUCAAAUUUUAUAUGUUGACAUGUUUUUGUUGUAAGAAUUAUUCCUGAGAAAACAAAAAUAGUUUAUAUGGCCAUAAGCUUCCAAUUCCAAGUGCUUCCUAGCAUAGGUUUAUAACUUUUCAUUAAUCAUUAUGGCUCUAAUUGGUUGAAAAGAAUUUGUAUAUGGAGUCUUAGGAAGUGGUUCUAAGAUCUUAAAAUUGUUGUUGUGAUAUCUCAACAUCACAUUCUCACUUACCAUUCUACUUGUCAUUAAAUAAAUAUACAAAGCAAAAGACCAUCAAUAGGCACCUGAUGGAUAUCAUAUGGUUUUACCUUCUAUGUCCUUUUGGGCACUGCUUAUGAUUUGUGAUAUAGUCCUAUUUUCAUGACCAUACAUAAAAAAAGUGAAAAACCAAGUUGAGAAGAGGAAAGAGGAUAAAGGUGAAUUUUUGCGUUGAUCUACAUUGUAGACUCUACAACUAUUUGAAGUAAGUAAAACACAUAAAGCUAUGGUUUGGAUUCAAUAACUUGCAAACAAAUAUUAUUAGUUACUUCUACACAGGCCUCUCUUAGAGAACCAUAGAGUAAAUACAGUUGUGCUAAGGCCUCUCUUAGAGAACCAUAGAGUAAAUACAGUUGUGCUAAUCGAUGCUUUUAGAAACAAGUUGGCAUAGAUAUAUGCAAUGUUUUCUUCUCAUAUCAUAAGUCAUUUGAUCAAAUGGUUGGACCAACUUUGCAGAUCAGAAUUGUCCUGAGUUUUUCAGCUGCUCGAGCGAAAUUCUAAUAAAUCAUCAAACCAGUAUUGAUUUUUCAGAAGAGAAGAAAUAGAAAAUGUCUAAUGAAGUGUGAAGUUGUGAACUAUGAAUGUGACUUCUUCGAUAUUUUGAAAUUUCUUCUGCUGAUUUCAUUUCUUUGGCUGCGCCAAAUAUAUUUCAGUGUUCAGGAUAAGGUCACAGAUGAGUUUUCUUUAGAGUUAAUUAACAUAGACUUCAGCACUUUAUAAGGUCCAAUUCCUAUGUUAUGGAAAGAACAGUCAUGUAAAGAAAUUUGUUGAACAGAAAUAAUAAUACCAAAUUGGAUACUGAAUGAGUCUGAACUGAUUUCAUUUGCUAAACUACUGAAAAUUGUAUUCAAAAUUGGGAUCUAUAGAUCCAGCUGACAGUAGUGAGAAGUAACAAUGUGUGUUUCCUAAUUCCUCUUAUGUACAAACUAAAAAUCCUAUUCUUUACAAAACUGUGAAAAUAAAAGCCUCAGAUCCUAUUCAAGCGAGAAGUAAGAUCAACGAACACAUCUUCACUGCAGGGUAUUGUUACACCACCCAUUGGAUGAUCGAAGCCAAAUUCUUCCUCAGCUUGACUAAGCAAGUCUUGAAAUAAAGGUUGGCUCAAGAAUGAAAUGGGAAUUACAAAUCUCUUCUUUUGGUUCUCCCCAACAUAAACAGCAAAGUGGCCUUUAGGAACAUCUGCGACUGUAGAGGACUUCUUGAUUAUACGAGGCAUACGGAUAGCCAUGGUCUUUUAGUUCAAUAUAUAGAUGAGGAAAUAAGGAAGGGAAGAAUUUGUAAGGACUCUGAAAGAACAGAUAAGCUUUGUAUGACUUAAAUUUUUGGUCAGAGCUGUUAUGGUAAACCCUUCUUUAUAUGUGUUUAUAUAGGCCAAUGACAAGUUGUCAAACCCCACUGAUGUCUGAAUAUACAUUUUGUGGACACCAGCUAAAGACAGUAGCACCUGAAGUAUCACAUGGUUUUGCCUUCCAACUCAUUGUCAUAAUAUUAAUGCAAACUCUCAUGUCCACUUAUAUAAAAACUAUAAGAGAAAACAAAUCAAUCAUAUAGAAGAUUCAACUGGUGGAGAGGCAUUUGUAGUAAUGUUGAUUGACAAUAGCACAUGGUUUUGCUACUCAACUCAUUGUCAAGUAUAUAUGAUCUUAGUCAUUGCACUUCAAUAUUAGCAGUCCCUUGUUUUUCAGGACAAGAUAGAGAACUGAAGAUUUUUAGAAAUCAAUAUGCUAACAUUGAGUCAUUGUCAACAGCAGGAUUUUAUGAGUUUGAUCAGAAUGAUAAUAACAGGUAAAAUUUACUACCAUCUGACCAUUUGCGUAGUCCCUCAAGCUAAGUCAUUAUGUAGGAACAACUUUCCUGAUUAAAAUAAACCAACCCAUUUCAAUAGAUUUUUUCUACAUGUUUCCAAAUAGUAGAGAAUACUAUAUAUUCUUUACUGGCUAUCUCUGUCCAUGUUAUGCGAAUCUCCAUCAAAUUAUUAGUCAGUCAACACCUUAUUAUUGCUACAAAUUCGAAUUUCAUAUUCAAAAGUACAGAUACUAUUUCUUAUGAAGAGUUCAUAAAGUGUAAUUAUCAUUUUUACCAAUUGAAUGAGGUAUGCCACUUAAGAGGACUAGAUUGUAGUUCUUUCUGAUUACCAAACCAUUAGAGUUGAGCAAACAAUUUCUAUUGCAAUGAAUUGAUUACAUCAAUGUAUGGAAGUAAAAAGUUUCAUUACUUCAAUUUCUUUUGAAGUAGAAAAAUGUGUCCUAGUCUAGCUAUUGUUUCUUCUAACUCUCAACUGUACACAGUGGAGUUCCUGGCUUACUAACAACUAUACAAAAUUGUGUAACAAAAAAAUGGGGACUAGUUUCCUUCUCACUUCCUCAAUCGAAAUGUGAGAUCCAUGAACAAAAACUCACUGCAGGGAAUAGUAACACCGCCCAUCGGAUGUUCGAAGCCAAAUUCAUCCUCGGCUUGACUAAGCAAGUCUUGAAACAAAGGUUCGCUCAAGAAUGAUAUUGGAAUUACAAAUCUCUUUUUCUGCAUCUCUCCAACAUACACAGCAAAAUGGCCCUUGGGAAUAUCUCUAGUUGCGGAAUACUUCUUGAUCAUACGGAGAAUAGCCAUGAUCUCUUAGUUUUAGUAUAGAUGAAAAAAAAAGGACUGUUGAGGGAACUCAAAAGCAGAGAAAACGUUGAUGUUUACUCAGUGUUGUGGUGGUAGAUACCUCUUUGGAUAUAUUUAUAUAGGAAAUGGCAACUCAUAUUGAUGUGAAUUGAUUAGGAAUUUGCGGGCUCCAGCAGAAGACAAUGGCACUCAAGUAUCACAUGCUCUUGCCUUCCAAGUAUUGAAAACAUUGUGGUAUUAGUUGACUAACAAUAGGCCCUACCUUUUUUGAAAACUUGGAAAGUAGCGUUAUACAUUACAUAAUUUUUAGGAAGUGAUGAGAAGUCGAUAACCUCUUGAUAUGUGAUGAAGAGCCAGUUGGAUUGGGCAUCACAUGGUCAUGCCUUCCAACUAGUUGACAUGAUUAAUUGUUUUAGCUCAUAUUAGAUCAAGUUCUAUAGGUCCUACAUAUAUUUUCCUAUAGGGAACAAAGGAUCUCUAAGAAUCAAGUCCAUUAAUAUUGCUGGCAGCUUGUGUUGAUUUCAAGGAAUAAAACAUACCCCAGAUGCAAACUUUGUAUCCACUUAUAUACAAAAUAUAUGAGUAAAAUAUGAAAAAUUACACUGGUUGACACUGUUUAUUGAUAACAGAAAUAUUAUGGGCUUUCAACAUGUCUGUGUUUGCAAAUCUCCAUAAAAUUAUGAGUCGGUCAAAAAGAAGACGACUGGACUGAGGAGAAGGAGAAGAGGCAGCACAGAAUUGAGAGGAAACUGAAAAAGAAGUCGACUUUCAUGAAGACAGUAGAAAAGAGGAAGUGAGGGUAACUGAACACUCCCCAACCCUAGAAGAUAGUGCCAUGCAAGUUUCAGCUAUGUUGAGAAGUGAUUAUAACAUCUACGGGUUGACAACAAUUGAAGAUGCAGUACCUUUAAACCAACAUAACCCAGGGGAAGGGGAGGUCCGAAUUUUGAUAUUCCUAUAUGGAUUCAUCAGAACAUUAUCAAAUUUGCCAAAGAAUUUGGUGUCGACAUCACGGGGUGCAAAGAGGAACUAAACAUGAGACAAAAAAAUUCGACAAUGAAGAAACGAACAGGAGAAUGACCUCAGAAACAAGGGAGCAAAGAAUGAAUCUCGAGUGCGGAAGUAAUUUCAGAAGCAAAGGCACAAGAAGGGGGUGGGGGUGGGCUACAGAUCAGCAAAUGCUCAUAGAAGCUAUAACAAUAUUGAUGAAUUAAUGGUGGAUGGGGAAGCAACCCAAAAACCAGAAGUUAUAAAGAAGGAGAUUGAGGAGUUCUAUUAAAGAAUAUAUACUGAAACUGAGACAUGGAGGCCAGCUGGAGGAUGCAGGGCAGACCACAGAGCACAGAGUUUCUAUUGAAGACAAUCAUUCUAUGUAAGCUAGAUAUACAAAAAGCUUUGGAGGUAGAUGGAUAAGAUGGAUGAAGUUCUGCAAAAGCACCGUCAAAUUCUCUGUCCUUAUCAAUCAAUGGCUCCCCUACAGGUGAGCCUUCUCCUCACAGAGAGGUCUAAGGCAAGGAGACCCAUUAUCUCCUUUUCUCUUCAUCAUUGCCAUGGGAAGUCUUAAUGAUAUGUUGAGAAUUGCUCAAGAAAAUAGCUGGUUGAAGGGAUUCAAAGCUGCACACAGGGAAGGCUCAAACUUGGAGAUACUCAUUUGCUUUGCAGUACGCUGAUGAUACAUUUAUCUUUUGUGAGGCUAUUAAGAACCAACCCAUGAUUCUCAAGGUCAUUUUUGUUCUUUUUGAAGCAAUCCUACGAUCACACAUCAACUGGAAUAAGAGCUUCAUAUAUCCAGUUAAUGAGGUUUCUAACCUAACCUAAUUGGCUGGGGUCCUUGGUGGAAGUAUUGGGAAGCUACCAACUGUCUACUUGGGCAUGCCUCUGGGUGAUCAGAAUAUGUCUAUAGAUAUAUGGAAUGGGGUGGUAAAGAACUGCGAGAAGAGGUUGGUAAACUGAAAAAGUCAAUAUCUCUCCUUAGGAGGAAGACUAGCACUAAUCAAUAGUGUUUUGGACUCUAUACCUACCUAUAUGAUGUCCCUCUUCCCUAUCCCUGAUGGGGUCAUUGAGAGAUUGGAUGUUCUAAGAAGAAAUUCAGUGAAACCAAGAAGUUCCACUUGGUGAAAUGGGAUGCACUGAUUGGAAGUGAACAAAAAGGGGGUAUGGGGGUGAGGAACUUAAAAACUCAGAACCAAUGUCUUAUGAUGAAAUGGCUCUGGAUAAUUGCUUCUAGGGAGUCAGCUCUCUGGAAAGAAGUUAUCCAGCUGAAGUAUGAAAUGGCAGAUCAUUGGACCACCAGAAUGGUCACCGAUACUUAUGGGAUCAACCUUUGGAGAUCCAUCAGAAACCUGUGGCCAAAGCUUAGAGAAAAUUGCAGCAUAAGAACAGAAGAUGGCAGGAAGGUACUUUUCUAGGAAUACAAGUGGUUACAUCAAGCCCCCCUAAGGGACACCUUCAAUGAUAUUUACACCCUAACCAACAACAAAGGGCCACUGUGGAUGAUGUCUAGUCUAACCAGGGAUGGAAUUUGAGCUUUAGAAGACCUUUUAAUGACUAGGAGAUUUUGAGGUUAGUUGAGUUCUACAGCAAAUUGGAGCAAUUCAAAGGAACCUUCACUGACCAAGAUAGAUUGGAGUGGAAGGGCCACAGUCAAGGUAGUUUCAGUAUGAAAGGGGCCUAAAAAAAAUUUAACCCUAAUAAUUAUCAGAUUGAGGACUGGCCUUGGAAGCUUAUAUGGAAAGUCAAAAUUUCUUAUGAAGUUUCCUGCUUCACUUGGCUUGUGGCCAAACAAGCUGUUUUAACCCAAGAAAACCUCAUGAAAAGGGGGAUACAUCUAAGUCCAAGGUGUUUUUUUUGGGAAGAAAAGGCUGAGACUGUAACCCACCUUUUUUGUACACUACAGGAUUACCCGUCAACUAUGGGAAAUAUUCCCAAGUAAGAAGGGCCUGAAUUGGGUAAUGCCAAGGAAAAUAAAUCAGACUUUGAAGAUCUGGAGCAGUUAUGCUAGCAUGUCAGACCAUAAGGAUAGGUGGAAAAUUGCACCAGCUUGAAUUUGGUGGGCUGCUUGGCGAUGAAGAUGAAGUGUUUAGUUUUGUUUCACUUUUGGUGUAAACAGGAGUAUAGGGAAGAUCUAGAAUCAAUUAAAGAUGUCUUAGGAUUAUUGUAAUUUUUUGUUGAAAGGGUUGAAGUUCUUCUAGAUACUCCCCUCCUCAAUUGUAAUUAGGAAACCUGUAACUUGUCGUGGCAGGUUUCUGUUUUUGUGGAAAUAGAAUACAAGUCGUUACCUUCUCAAAAAAAAAGUAUAAACAUGAAAUACAAAUUAUUAAGAGUUAAUCAAUUUACAUCCAGUUCUAUUGGAUUGAGUUUAACUCAGUACUUUCACAUUGCUGCAGAAUGGCAGAUCUAGUACAUCUUGAGUUACACUUCAUUGUAUGAUGAACACUACCAUGUGUAUUUUAACUUCAUUUUGACCACAAAGUAUAAUUCUUACCAACGGAAUGAGUUGUGGCACUUUAGAAGACUAGAUUCUGACUACAAAACGACGAGAGUUGAGCAAAAAGUUUCUAUUGCAAUGAAUUGUUUACAUCGAUGUAUGGCACAGAAUGAAACCAUGCAAAUAAAAAGUUUCAUUACUUCAAUUUCUUUUGAAGUAGAAAAAUGUUUCCUUAGUCUAACUAGUGUUUCUUCUAACUCUGAACUGUACAGUGUCUAUCCUGGUUUACUACAACUAUACAAAAUUAUGUAACUAAAAAAAUGGGGACUGGUUUCCUUCUCACUUCCGCAAUCGAGAUGUGAGAUCGAUGAACAAAUCCUCGCUGCAGGGAAUAGUCACACCACCCAUUGGAUGGUCGAAGCCAAAUUCUUCCUCAGAUUGACUAAGCAAGUCUUGAAAUAAAGGUUGGCUCAAGAAUGAUAUCGGGAUCACAAAUCUCUUCUUCUGCAUCUCCCCAACAUACACAGCAAAAUGACCCUUGGGAAUAUCUCUAGUUGCAGAAGACUUCUUGAUCAUACGAAGAAUAGCCAUGAUCUCUUAGUUUUAGUAUAGGUGAGAAAAAAGGAAGGAUUGUAAGGUUACCAAAAAGCAGAGAAAGCUUUGAUGUUUGCUGAGUGUUGUGGUGGUAGAUACCUCAUUAGAUAUGUUUAUAUAGGAAAUGGCAACUCAUAUUGAUGUGUGUUGAAUAGGAAUGUGUGGGUACCAGCAGAAGACAAUGGCACUGUAGUAUCACAUGCUCUUGCCUUCCAAGUAUUGAAAACUAUGUGGUAUUAGUUAAACAACAAUAGGCCCCACCUUAUUUUGAAACAUGGAAAGAGCCAUUUGGAUUGGACAUCAGUACAAGACAAUGAUAUAUUAGCAAUCACAUGGUCCUGCCCUCCAGCUAGUUUGACAUGAUUAAUUACUUUGGCAUAUAUAAGUUCAAGUUCAAUCGGUCCUACAUAUAUUUUCCUAUAGGGAACAAAGGAUCUCUAAGAAUCAAAUCCACAUAUAUUGCUGGUAGCUUAUGAGGAUAUCUAGGAAUUAACCAUACCCCAGAUGCAAACUGUGUCUACUUAUAUAAAAAGGAUAAGAGAUAAAAAGUUGGCUUAUUAAAAUUCCGAGACAGUUGGUCAAAAUCAGAUGAUCAAAUAGAAACAGGGGGAAUAUUAUAUAUGCAAGAACAAUCCAUUGAUUAAUAGUUGGCUCCCUAAGUACAUUUGGUAACUAAUGUGAAUAUUACCAUAACCAACAAACACAAAGUAACAAAUACACCUAAAAAAGGCUUCUAAUCACAUAACCACCUUCUAGAAAGGGUGCAAUGAGAAAAUAGGCCUUCAAAAUAAAGCUAAUUACAAAUAAGCCUCUGAAUCAAACUGCUACAACUACGACCUUUUCUCCCUAUUUAUAAUAGAUCUAAUCUUUCCACGAUAUCCUUCUUAAUCUGUAACACAACUGUUCCAGUUUGAACAUUCAUGUGCUUGAAUGUAGUCCAGUUCCUAGCCUUCCAAGUAAAUAAUCUUGUUUGUUAUCUUUUACAAGUACAUUGGUUUCUUCAUAAACAAACAUAAAUAAGUUGGGAUCUUCCUCCAUAAAUAGCAUCCCAUCUCUAUAUCCCUAACACAACUAUUAGUACUUUUUUAGUAGCAUUAAGCUCUCAAAUUUCUUCAAGAAAACAUACAAAAAUGGCCAUCAGAAAAUCAAACAACUUAAUCACAAGCUGCAGUUUUAAAGCAAAAUUAUGAAUAGGUAUUCAAAUUUGGGUAUGCUGAGAUUUAUUUGCUAAUGAGUCCAACCAACGACCCGACCCCUAAGAGAAACAAUCAUUUAAAGUAAAUAAAUUAUAAGAUCAGAACAUAAGCAAGAUAAGUGAAAGAGACUAUGGGUCCUAGGGAACUUAAAAAGACACAUGGUGAUCUCUAAUGCUUUUAUGAUUGAAUGCAGUCUGGGAUAAUCUUGAAAAAAUAGGUGAAAGAAAUGACACUAAUUAACUUCAACAUGCACUAGAAAAAUUUAGCUCUUAUUCAGGUCAGGAACAAAUGGCAGGAAUUACCUUCUUUCGACUCCCCAUCGUGUGAAGUUGUGCACUCCCCUCAAGCUUGUACUUCAUUAUGACAAAUGCUAACUAGUUUCAUUAGAAACACCAGGUCGUGUGAGUUACUAAAAUAUCUGAUUGAGAUAAUAUCAGAAAGAGAACUAACCCUUCCAUGAACGUUGAUAACAUGACCUUUCAUCAGAGAAUACACCGUCACCACAACUUGGGGUGGAGGAUUUACCAAAUUGAUGGUAUGACUGCUGUGGAAACUCCAAGCAGAUAGCUUCUGCAAAAUGAUGCAGUCUCCUUACAGCUCUAGUU